ACUCCUCCCUCGUCAUCACCACCAACAGAAUCGCCGGCACCAUGACCAAGUCGACCAUCGCUGCAUCCAAGUGAGCAUGGCUGGCUUCCUUUGUUUUCUCUGUCUCAAGAUCUGGCCAUCCAUGGCCGAAAUUGUCAGCUCUCAUCCAUGGCCGUCUUUGGCGUUAUUCAUCCAUCAUUGAACGCAUUCAGGCAUCGUCUCUGUUGUUCAUCGAUGGCCAACCACGAGCUGGCGGCAAUGGACGAUAGAUCUCAAUAUUUGAGCUUUGUCCGUGCCUUCGAGAUCUCAACCUCGCCCGUUGCCAUGGCUAACCACGAGCUAACUGCAAGAUCUGGAGAUACAACUCCAGUUCAGAUCUGGACGAAAAACGAUUGCGAGCCGCCAUGACAAUGGAGGGAUGGCUUGGCUGUUGAUGGGGCCGACCACGAGUCGAAUCCAAGGGACGAUAGAGCCAGCAGCAAGAGACGAUGGAGGAAGACCGUGGCGACCAAGAGCAUGAUGGAGGGGAAGCUUCCAUGGGUGAACAGAUGUAGUUUUUUGUUUGUUUUACUUUUAUUCCAUAUCAUCAAAUACGUGUCAAUUUGUUGAGUAAAAAACAUAUAUCUGCAGCUGAUGUGGUAGUAACAAAUCCCUAAAUAUUUUCUCGGUCAUGACAAACAGUACAUGCAUGGGUGAUGUCAAUUGGAGGA